UGUAGCUCAGUGGGAGAGCACUUGCUUAGCAUGUAUGAGGCACUGGGUUCAAUCCUCAGCA
rnacentral:tRNA from 1 species